rnacentral:lncRNA from 1 species
AGAAACCUUCUUUGUUCUUCAAUUAGGUUGAAGCAUCUUCCCAUGAUUCUCUUCCUCAACAACUGCAGUUCAACAAACUCAUCAAAUGAAGGUUUGUCAAAUGGUUAAAUCAAAUUGUCUUAGUUUGAAUACUAGAAGAGCAACUCACUUUCAUUCGUGUUGGUUAAAAGGGGAGCUUUGUUGUCUGCUGAAUUUGAAGCAGCUACCAUGUUUGUGGCUCCACCAAAUGAAGCAGCCUCAGAGGAAGCUCUGCGAGGACUGAUAGCUUUAGUUAUCACUCUAGAAAGUGCUUUGUCAUCUUCCC